CCUACGGGAGGCAGCAGUGGGGAAUAUUGCACAAUGGGGGAAACCCUGAUGCAGCAACGCCGCGUGAGUGAAGAAGUAUUUCGGUUUGUAAACUUCUAUUGUCAGAGAAGAUAAUGACAGUAUCUGACGAAUAAGCCCCGGCUAACUCCGUGCCAGCAGCCGCGGUAAUACGUAGGGGGCAAGCGUUAUCCGGUUUGACUGGGUGUAAAGGGCGCGUAGGCGGGUUUGUAAGUCAGAUGUGAAAUCCCGGGGCUUAACCCCGGGACUGCAUUUGAAACUGUUUUUCUAGAGUAUAGGAGGGGCAGGCGGAAUUCCUGGUGUAGCGGUAAAAUGCGUAGAGAUCAGGAGGAACACCCAUGGCGAAGGCGACCUGCUAGAAUGUAACUGACGUUGAGGCGCGAAAGCGUGGGGAGCAAACAGGAUUAGAUACCCUAGUAGUC
rnacentral:rRNA from 1 species